rnacentral:rRNA from 1 species
AGCAGCCGCGGUAAUUCCAGCUCCAAUAGCGUAUAUUAAAGUUGUUGCAGUUAAAAAGCUCGUAGUUGAAUUUCGGGGUCAGUAGAUUGGUCGUGCCACUGGUAUGUACUGGUCUUACUGGCUCCUCCUUCCUGAUGAACCGUAAUGCCAUUAAUUUGGUGUUGCGGGGAGACUGGACUGUUACUUUGAAAAAAUUAGAGUGUUUAAAGCAGGCUAACGCUUGAAUACAUUAGCAUGGAAUAAUGAAAUAGGACGUUCGAUCUUAUUUUGUUGGUUUUUAGGAUUGACGUAAUGAUUAAUAGGGAUAGUUGGGGGCAUUAGUAUUCAAUUGUCAGAGGUGAAAUUCUUGGAUUUAUUGAAGACUAACUACUGCGAAAGCAUUUGCCAAGGAUGUUUUCAUUAAUCAAGAACGAAAGUUAGGGGAUCGAAGACGAUCAGAUACCGUCGUAG